AGGCCAUGCAGGACUGGUUGCUAUCCCCAGCUCCCUGUGCUUCUCUGCAUAGAUUUGCAGGAGGAAAGUGAGGGAGAUGCACAACUGACAUCAAACCAAAAGUCAAAACAUUAUUCUGACUGAAUCAAUGCAUCAUGUCCUGUGGCUGCCUGCAAUGUGAUUGUGUACCCCCGUGCGACCCAUGACAAGUCUGGCUUGUUUUGCAGUGUGGUAACGCACACGUCUGGUAUUGAGACUGAUGAAAUCACAGCCUUGCUUCUUCCCCAGGCUGUGCUCUCUUUUGCUUAACUUCUGCAGCUGUGAGGCUUCAACCUCAGCAGCACCUGCCAUGGUUGCCCUCAGUGCACUCCUGGUUACUACACCAACCUCAUCAGCCUGUUACUUCCUCAAUUAUUUUUAAUCCCUCUAAAGGAAAAGAAUUGCAGCCUAAAGCAAACAGACACAAGAGUGUUUCAGGGUAGCUAUAUACUCAAACAUGGGCAGUCAUAAAGCAUUAAGAUGCCUUCAUUGAUGCUUUGAAGACCUCACUGUCUCACUCAAGCUGGGAACUCUACUUUGUCUUAAAGUGUACAAAAGAUUUGGAAAAAAUUUUAAAUAUAUUGAUAAUUAAUUUGAACUGGAAAUUAUUAAAUUGAAGUUACCAAAUGUAGACUUAUGUAUAAUGCUAUUUUAAUACUGUUUCCAACAGUAAAUUGUCAAAUGUCUACAUUGAUAACAGUGGUUUCGGGCUUGAAAGAGGAGACGAGAUCCUUGUGUGCUGUUAAAAUUAAAGCCCUGUUAAAUAGAAUUGCAUGCACUGACAAGUUCUCCUCUGUUUUAAAUCCUCUGGAUGUACUGUUUCUCUCCUGACGAUGGUAUUAUACAGUUUUACUCAAUAUACCUGUAACUGUUGUUAAAAAGUAAAAGCCAUAAAAAGAUAUUUCCUUCAG
rnacentral:lncRNA from 1 species